CCUACGGGAGGCAGCAGUGAGGAAUAUUGGUCAAUGGGCGCGAGCCUGAACCAGCCAAGCAGCGUGAAGGAUGACUGCUCUACGGGUUGUAAACUCCUUUUAUAAAGGAGUAAAGUGAGGCACGUGUGCCUUUUUGUAUGUACUUUAUGAAUAAGGAUCGGCUAACUCCGUGCCAGCAGCCGCGGUAAUACGGAGGAUCCGAGCGUUGUCCUGAUUUAUUGGGUUUAAAGGGAGCGUAGAGGGGUUGUUAAGUCAGUUGUGAAAGCUUGCGGCUCAACCGGAACAGUGCAAUUGAUACUGGGAGUCUUGAGUACAGUUGAGGUAAGCGGAAUUCGUGGUGUAGCGGUGAAAUGCUUAGAUAUCACGAAGAACACCGGUUGCGAAGGCAGCUUACUAGACUGCAACUGACAUUGAUGCUCGAAAGUGUGGGUAGCAAACAGGAUUAGAUACCCCAGUAGUC
rnacentral:rRNA from 1 species